rnacentral:RNase_P_RNA from 1 species
UCGGACGGCCGCGGCGCAUUUUUAAAUGCGGUGAGGAAAGUCCGGGCUUCACAGGGCAGGAAUAACGGCUAACGGCCGCCGGAGGCGACUCCAGGUCAAGCACAACAGAAAUAUACCGCCGGUUUUUCCGGUAAGGGUGGAAAGGCGCGGUAAGAGCGCACCGGUUUUCACGGCAACGCGAAAACCCUGUAAGCACUAUUCGAAGCAACUCAGGCUCCGCAGGCUUGCCCGGCCUAUCAACGGGAAUUGAGGCGUGAGGCGUCCGGCAACGGGCGUCCAAGACAGAUGGCCGUCUUAAAUGACAAAACCCGGCUUACAGAUUCGGU